CUCACCCACUAGACGGUGUGUCCACGGUGCACGGCACAAAAUAGCACUACGAACACAAAAACCACUGAAACCACAUACAUAACAUAUGUGUAAGAUACAAACAACAGCAGAAUGAACACCCACAUAUCCACCUCCCAGCCAAAAUGCAGAGCCCUCAGGCCUAGGAGCCCUCCCUCCCACAAGUGCUCUUCCUGAUUCUCUCUCUUCACCCUCACCCCAUAGCCAUGCUCCUGCUGUGUGUGUUACUUACUUUUAUUACUUUAUUUUCAUUUACUGUGGUAGAGAGAGCAAGCCAGGGCCUGAAUCCAUGCUAGGAAAAUGCACUACCACUCAACUACACCUCCAGCACUCCUCCAAAAUGUUAAAACACCCAACCAAUCCUACCAGGCUAUUGCCUGGGUACAUUUGUAAAGCAUCUUUGUGAUUAGAACCAGAGCUAUACAUUUCCUUCUGUGACUUGUUCUUCUACUACACGUUCGUAAGAUUCAUCAGUGUUAACAAGACUAGCUGUCACCAAUCAAUCCAAACUGAUUCUUCAAUCAGUUCUGCUGUCAGUCAUCACAGAAAUGACUUCCAGCCUUUUGUUCCUAUGAGAAUGCUGCUGCAAACAUUUUUGUAACUGUCUCCUGGUAUAUGGGAGUGCUUUUUUUUUUUUCUAAUUCAUCAUUUUGACCAAUUGUUACUGACAUGUGCUUAUUUUGUUUGUUUAUUAAUUGGUACUGGGAAUUGAACCCAAGGAUUCUCUACCCCUGAGCCACAUCCCCAGUCCUUUAUUUUUUAAAAUUUUAAGACAGGUACUCACUAAAUUGCGUAGGGCUGCACUAAGCCCAAGAAAAGAAACGCAACUGAGAGAUCAUCCGGCAUCAGCCUCAACUAGUGAAC
rnacentral:lncRNA from 1 species